GAUGAACGCUGGCGGCGUGCCUAAUACAUGCAAGUCGAGCGAACAGACGAGGAGCUUGCUCCUCUGACGUUAGCGGCGGACGGGUGAGUAACACGUGGAUAACCUACCUAUAAGACUGGGAUAACUUCGGGAAACCGGAGCUAAUACCGGAUAAUAUAUUGAACCGCAUGGUUCAAUAGUGAAAGACGGUUUUGCUGACACUUAUAGAUGGAUCCGCGCCGCAUUAGCUAGUUGGUAAGGUAACGGCUUACCAAGGCGACGAUGCGUAGCCGACCUGAGAGGGUGAUCGGCCACACUGGAACUGAGACACGGUCCAGACUCCUACGGGAGGCAGCAGUAGGGAAUCUUCCGCAAAGGGCGAAAGCCUGACGGAGCAACGCCGCGUGAGUGAUGAAGGUCUUCGGAUCGUAAAACUCUGUUAUUAGGGAAGAACAAAUGUGUAAGUAACUAUGCACGUCUUGACGGUACCUAAUCAGAAAGCCACGGCUAACUACGUG
rnacentral:rRNA from 1 species